UAUAGUUUACACACAGGAAUUACAUCUGAUCUUCGCACAGUCAACAAAAUCACUUGCAGUAAUAUCAGAGUAAUUAUGCCGAGAAAAGCGAGAUCACUUUCGAAGAGGAAGACCAUGUAAUCCUGUAUCAUUAUAUCUUUCGGAUCAAAAAUGGCGGGCUUUUCAAUCUUCGAAACUCUACACGUUGUGGAUUCGUUGUAGUAAACUGUCUAUUUGUUUUGGCUGCAUUGGAUAGCACCUCUGAACUCAGUAAUCCUUUGGAUACUUGGCGAAAGGAAGAUCAGGAUAAUGUAUCACCCGUUAAAACACUACAAAGAACGAAUAAAACAUAGCAUGGAAACGCACUGUUCAGAAAUGAUGAAUUUAUGGACAAACUACUGAACUCCUACAUCAUGAGCACUGUGGAACAGUUUGAUCUGAACUGCACUGCAGCCAGAGUGUUGUUAAAUGCCAUGCCUGGGCUGGAAAGUGCUGCAGUUUUUCAGGAUAUGGAAGCAAUGCUUAAUCAAUUAUGCAAGUGGGCCAGAGAAGCCUUGGAACCCCUAAGAUCAUAUGCUACAGGUCUUUUAGCAUUUGCCAUGAAGAGUCAGAAUAUUGCUGCAGUAUUCAGAGAAGAAAACUCUACCUUGGUUCCCUGUAUGCUGUGGCAGCUGCAAAUUUUAAAGGACUUGUCAGACCUUACAUAGUCCCUUGUGACAGACCUGUUAAACAGGAUUAUCCUGAAGGCAAAGACAAACAGGAACAAGAGCAAAAACAGUAACAUUGUGAGUAACAGGGAAUGGAAAAUUUUGAUCUGGAAUAAAAUGAUCAGUUAAACAAUUGUUAUCAAGAACAAAAAUAUUUAAUGAUCAUCUGUGAAAGUUUGGCACCAAAAACUCUGUUUUAAGCCAGUUUAUUCUGAAUGGAAGUAAUGGGAUUACAAGAGGGAAAUUCUCUGGCAGGUGCCUUACCAAGGAAGCCACCUUCUUCAAAUCUUAUUGAAAGCACUGCAAGGAUAAUGUGAUGAAUAAGUUCCACAAAAGUGAGAUCUUUUGGAUGGGGUCCUUGAAGCUUUCAAUGGAAUAAACACUAGAUACCGGUAAAAGUUGUCUACAAGCAAAACAUCCAUUGUUAAUUAAAACAAGCAAGGGUUUCCGUUCCACUGGAAAUGUAAUUUGUGCACCUAAGGGAGGGGACCACAUAGUCCCUAUGUCCUUUUUCCUCUCCCCCCCUGACUCUUGGCAUGCAGCAGAGACUAAUUCUGCAGUAUCUGACUCCCUUGGGAGAAUAUCAGGAGGUAUGUGCUGUAAUAAGGCACUUGAUCAUUUAAUGUAAUGAGAAGAACUGUAAGACUCUCUCCACUGAAGUUUGUGGGAAGCUUGUGAGAAACGUGUACUCAAUCUGAAGGAUAAUUUAGAAACUUAACAAGUUUGAGCGAGGACCGACUAUUAAACAGUAGCCUCUGUUUAGUGUAAAAAUAUGCUCGUACUUUUUUUUGGUGGACAUUUAUUUUGUCUAGAGAGGCCAAGAAUUUUCGGAGAGUAAAGCUUGAGGAAAACUGUGUGCUUUUAGGAACGGAUCAUGUUUAAAGACAAAAUAUACGUGUAUAUAUUAGAGCCAAAUUGAGGACGUAUUCUUUUGCUUUUUAUCCCUCAAAUAUUUUUUUGCAGUGCAGAACAAUCAGCUUAGCGUUGAAAACGGAUGUUGAAUUUUCGAAGAGACUUCACAAACAAACAAAUUUGUCUCUCCUUCGUUAUCAACUUGGAUCGACUUCUAAAGAAAAAAAAAGAGCAGAGCGAUAUGACCUUGUGAAAUCAAACCAAAGAAUCAGAAGCAAAAUACUGAUGCCACUUAUGACUCCUUCGCUAAUGACAUGUGAAAAAUAAAUUGUUGGAGUUUUGAGCCAUCGGUUAGCUCAGUUAAGAACUGGCAUUGCCUGUGAUUCCGACAAUCGAGUUUUCACUGGAUCAUAAGCGUUGGAGUUCUUAGCGGAAUCGGAAGAAAAGAAAUUGCUCGGAAUAUUCCAACUCCUAUUUCGUCAAGCUUUUGGCUCCACUUACGACUCCGACUCUCGAUUUUCUCUGGGUCGCUGGCACUCCUACGACUAAUGAACAAUUCGACACCAAUUCUGUCUUUUGUGUAAACGAAACUUUAGAUACUCUACCACAUUCAUCCCUCUUGAAAAACACUACUUUAACUCUUCAACUCCCAGAUCAAAUUUGUAAUUCUCCUUACUGUCAACCAUAGAAUUCUUUUAAUGUUAGUUCGGAUAAUUUAGUAUUGGAUCAGCUAAUCCUGCCCGAAUUGAUAAUUAAUAAUGACGUGCCGGCAAAUUGGCUCUCGCUAAUGAGUUCUGAAUUUAGGGAACACACUCGCGGCAAAGUAAUUAAUUUUUCUGUUACGAAUAAUAGGGAACUGGCAUACGGUAGCCAGUUUACUUUAUCAACUCAGUUGAUAACAUUAAAUUAAAUUUGAAUCUCUUUCUUUAGUGCUGGAAGUUCAGAGGAGUGAGAAUUGCAGUAAAGAAGACAAUCAGAGCGUUUUGUUGUUGUUUAUAGCUCAAGGAUGCCUUUAUUUUAUGAGAAUUGACCUCAAUGUUCUUAAACAUCAGUAUAUUAUGCAAAUUUUUUUUUAUCUAAAAAGCACUUGCUCAUCAUAAAGGAACCACAAAUAUGUUACCUUAAAAACAAAACAAGCAUAGCUAAGAAGGACAAAGACACACAUGGGUCAAGAACUGGAAAGAAAAGCUGACUUGUUGAGGAAGCUCUACAUAGUAUCGGUGAAAAAUAACUCGCAGAUUCUACGUCAUUUAGUUUGUUAAAUAAAUGUAGCACCCGCUCACUAAACAUGAUGAAAAUUCGAAGAAUUUGAAUAAAACA